rnacentral:rRNA from 1 species
GUCCUGGCCUUAAACGAUGGAUGCUUGGUGUCUGGGGUUUUAUAGUCCCCGGGUGCCGUAGCUAACGCGUUAAGCAUCCCGCCUGGGGAGUACGGUCGCAAGACUGAAACUCAAAGGAAUUGACGGGGACCCGCACAAGCGGUGGAGCAUGUGGUUCAAUUCGACGCAACGCGAAGAACCUUACCAGGGCUAGAAUGCCUCUGACAACUCCAGAGAUGGAGCCUUUUAGGGAAACCUAGACAGAGUGCAAGGUGCUGCAUGGCUGUCGU